GAUCAUGGCUCAGGAUGAACGCUGGCGGCAUGCCUAAUACAUGCAAGUCGAACGAAGUUUCGAGGAAGCUUGCUUCCAAAGAGACUUAGUGGCGAACGGGUGAGUAACACGUAGGUAACCUGCCCAUGUGUCCGGGAUAACUGCUGGAAACGGUAAGCUAAAACCGGAUAGGUAUACAGAGCGCAUGCUCAGUAUAUUAAAGACGCCCACUCAAGGACGGUGGAACAAUGGAGUGGACCGUCG
rnacentral:rRNA from 1 species